GACGAACGCUGGCGGCGUGCUUAACACAUGCAAGUCGAACGGUAAGGCCCUUCGGGGUACACGAGUGGAGAACGGGUGAGUAACAAGUGGGUGAUCUGCCCUGCACUUCGGGAUACGCCCGGGAAACUGGGUCUAAUACCGGAUAGGACUCCGGACUUCCUGGUCUGGGGUGGAACGCUUUUGAGGUGAGGGAUGAGCCCGCGGCCUAUCAGGUUGUUGGUGGGGUGAUGGCCUACCAAGGCGACGACGGGUAGCUGGCAUGAGAGGGUGACCGGCCACACUGGGACUGAGAUACGGCCCAGACUCCUACGGGAGGCAGCAGUGGGGAAUAUUGCACAAUGGGCGCAAGCCUGAUGCAGCGACGCCGCGUGAGGGAUGACGGCCUUCGGGUUGUAAACCUGUUUCAGCACAGACGAAGCGCAAGUGACGGUAUGUGCAGAAGAAGGACCGGCCAACUACGUGCCAGCCGCCGCUGUAA
rnacentral:rRNA from 1 species